CUAGGUUAUGUGAUCUUUUAUAAAUUAAAGUGGUUUCUUGAUAAACAUAUUAUUUGAACAUUUUCUUUACUGUUCAUUUCUUUUACAGGUUUUUCAAUAAGUUAUUCUGUUGCUUAAAAGACUUUGUGUGUUUUAGAAUGAAGAAAAUGAUCACCAGUACAUUAAAAAAAAGAAGAUUCCUGAUACAAACAACCAAAAAGGUUGGUUGUGAGGCCAAACUUGUAGUAAGAUAUAUUACCAGACCUACAAACAGAUGUGACAUGUGUGCUCCAGUUUGCAGUUAAGAAAUCCUUCGUCUUAGAAAAAGUUAAAGAAUUUCUGUUUUCAAUUGACGACCCACACUAUCAGUCUCUGCUGACCGAAGCACAGAGGUCAGAACAGUGUCAAUCUGCAGAUAUGACUGAAAGAAUUGGUGCAGCUGUAUUACGUGAUGUUUGUGCACAUGAAGAAGAAACUGAAGCAUUGUUAAUUUCAUUGAAAGCCAUAGCCCCAAGUAACCAACUAGAAACUGUGCAAUACAGACUUGUCUAUAUGAUUUUGGAGAACUUGGGUUUGUCUGUCCAGGAGGUGAUUGGAAUUACACCAGCAAAAGAUCCAAGAUUAAAACAGGCCAAAAUUGACAAAUGUAUACAGGAACAUCUCAAAGGUUCAAAAUCCACAGUCAGCUUCACCAAAGAAGCGAUAGAAUUAAAGAAAAAGGCACAGCUUAAUGCAGACUGUUCAGAAUGCUAUCCUGGAGGAGGUUUGAUAAAUCCUAAGGGAAAAAACUUGUGUUUUGCAAAUGCACUUCUGCAGUGCAUGAGAAUUGCUGAUCUUCAUAGAAUUCUUCAGUAUCACACAGCUUGUACAGAUGAAGACAGCUGUUUCACAUGCAGCUUAAAAAAACUCAUGACAGAAGGUUCCAUAACUGCAGAGCCUGUAUGCCGGAAAAUGACAAGCAUUUGGAGUUCUUAUAAAGAAGGUCAGCAACAAGAUUCACAUGAGUUGCUGCAUAUAAUGAUGCAAGAGAUCAAGGAGAAAUGCUUUGGGUCAGACAAUACUUUAUAUAGUGAAGAAAAAAGAUUGUUUUAUGGGCAGGAGAAGAGCUUGUUGAAUUGUAACAGUUGUCAAGCUGCAUCCUCAACAAAAGCUGCAUUUUCCUCAUUUAGCUUGCCCAUUGAAAAGCAUCAGAAUAUUGCUGAAGCCAUUGGAGGCAAUUUUAAAAGUGAAGAAGUUGAAAGGAAAUGUGAUUUGUAAGUAAAAUGUUACCAAAUAACAUCAAAAUAAUAUUGAAGGAACUUAUAGAUAUAGGAAGAUGUGGUGUGAGUGCCAAUUAUGUUUGGCAAAUAGACUCAAAUUGAAAGUGUGCAAGUCUUUUACUGCAAACCAAAUGAAUGGUUUCCAAAGAGUUAUCUCCUCUUGGACUGUGGGUCUUUAUCAUUUAAUAAUUGAUGAAAGUACAUGUAUUUUCUCACACAACUGUAUGUGAUGUUAUAUUUAUUAAAUGUCAAUAACAUAAUUAUCAAUCUCCACAAUGCAAACAUUUAAAAGUUCAUUUCUGACAAUUUCUAACUGAAGUUCAUAUUGAAUUCUAUUCUUUUUUAUAUAUUAUAUUUAGGCCUUCUUUAUAAACCACAAAAAAUAAAAGAAAAAGUUAGUGAACUGUAUGGCGUAAUCGUACACAAAGGAAAUACUCUGUCUACUGGCCAUUACUAUGCCUUUAUAUUAUUGGGUACACAGUGGUAUCUUGUGGAUGACAUGCAUGUAAAACAAGUUACUAUUCAAAGUCUGCAGAACAUAGACGGACAGCCAUAUUUACUUUUCUACAGAAUAAUGCAAAGGCCAUAUUUAGGAUUUGAUUAGAAGGGUACAUACUUUUACAGAAGAUGUUUAUAUAUCCCUUAUUUUUGUAACCAAACAAGUUUGCUGUGAUAUUAAUAAUACAAAACGGAUUGAUGUUCAAAAUAUUAAAUUUUUACUUUGCAUUUAUAGUUUUCAAAUUCCAAUAGGGAACCAACUUUAUAUAACAUUGUAUCAAUAAACCAAUUUUUCAAAACUUUUUGGCCAUUGGCCUUCUUCAGUUCUUUAUUUCUCCUCACAACUACAUGACUGACAUUACAUUUUCCAACUUGCUGUUUAAAAAUCGGGUCUUAGUCAGUUAUUUUUUUUAAUUAUUUUUUUAGAUUUCAAGAUAAAGAUCAUAUUCAUAUUUUUUUAUUUAUUGUAAGAAGCUUUGACUUGCAUUUGAAAUUGAUUUAUUUUCUAUUAAAAGUAUUAGAGAGUACAUGUAUUACAUGUAUAUCAUAUUUUGCAUUAUACUCAUGUUGAAAUACUUUUUUGUUAUCAAAUCAUGUUUUUAAUGAUGUCAUCUUCAAACUGAAGUGUUUCAACUGUAUUUAAAUUAUAUGAUCAUUUUCAAAAUGUUUACAAAAUUUUGAAUUUUUUAAAUACUUAGGCUUUUCUACCUCAGACAUAGAUUGCCAUAGCUGUAUUUGGCAAAACUUUUAGGAAUUUUGGUCCUCAAUGCUCUUCAACUUUGUACUUUAUUUGGCAAUUUUAACUUUUUUGGAUUCGAGCGUCACUGAUGAGUCUUUUUUAGACCAAACGUGCGUCUGGCGUAUAUACUAAAUUUAGUCCUGGUAUCUAUGAUGAGUUUAUUUCAUAACACCAUGAACAAGACUAUUUCUUGGCACCCUCAGUUUUCCAAUUGACUGGAUUAGGGGAAGUUCAUUUAAGUUACAUAUAGUGCUCACUUGUCAUAUUGUACUUGUUACAGACAAUUAAACUGAAGAGUUGCCAAUCAAUACAUUUUACAAAUGUACGAAAAAUUAUCUGUAUAUGUUAGAAAAAGUUAUUUCAAGCAAUGCAUCUGAAAAAUGAUAUAAUAAGUGUAAAUAAUCCAGUAAUUGCUUUGAAUUCUGAAAUAGGGAAGAUGCACAAUGUAAUUUGAAUAUCAUCUUCAAUGUUCAAACCUUAUUAUUAACUAUAAAUUAUUUUAAGAACAUGUUAUGAUAUGAUGCAUAAACGAGGUAAAGAAAUUCGCAAGGAUAAAGUGAAUACAAUGUGGUUCUUUAGCAUAGAUUGUAAUUUGUUACCAAAGCUGGAUAUUCAAUAUGUAAAUUAAAACCAGUAAUUUUACUCUGUACCUAAAUUUAUCAAAGAUAAGUUAUAACAAACCUGAUGUAAUUUGCGGGAGGGAUAUAUAAAUAAGUUAUUACAAUUAGACUAAGUAAACUUAAUACUUAUUAUUUUUUCUUUGAAACUCUACCUUGUUUUCACACAAAAUUUUUGGAUCCAAUUGAUUAUAUCAAGAUUUAGUUUUGGUCUUGUGGCUUUUUGUCAGUUUACCCCUUAAAUAAAGUUGAGAUAUACUUUAUAACUGAAAGCCCUCUAAAAAUUGAAAAAGUAAGACGAGGACAGAAUAUGUUAACAUCUGGAUAGCAUAACAUCAUAAAAGUUAAUUUGUGUUUUUUUUACUUUUUCAUGUUGCUAAAUGAAUAAACUUGCAUCAAUUAUAAUAGUUCAUUCAUUCAGAAACAAAGCUUGUAGAAAAGCAGGUUUCUACCUAAGUUAACUAAGCUUAUGGAAGUCAAUUUCAUAUAACAUGUUAUUUAGGUACAUAUGUGAUCUAUAUAUCUGAUGAUCCAAGUGUAAAUGUAUCUUACACUUAUUAUAUAAUGUAUAAGUCAAUAAGAAAGUAUAUGUAUUGUUAUAUAUAAAUUAUAAGUUUCAAACCUCUAUUACUGGUAAUAUCCAUAUGAUGUAUUAUCUUUUAUAUGUGUUACAUGUGAAGACUGAGUAUGCUGGUGAUUAUAGUUGUAAGGAUGACUGUUCAGCUGUGUUUAAGUUUAAGUUAUAUGUUAUGUUAAAACUGGUUGGCAUAAUCUAUGUGACUGGUCAGAAUAUAUCCUGGUUUGAUAUUUUAAGUGCCUAUUGUUUAAAAUAGAGGAAUACUUGGGAUAACUCAUUGCAAAUUUCAGGUAUUUUGAUAAGUUGAAAGAUGUCUUUAAGAAAUUACUAUGUCAUUAGAUAUUUAUUUUUUUUGUUGUUAUGUUGUCAGAUAGAUGUCAUUUAUUGUCAAGUUAAGACUUUUAUACAACACUUCAUGUAAUGUCUGAGUAAAAUGAUGAUUGAUAUAUUAUAAAAAUGAUAUCAUAGUGUCCAAUUGUAUUGAUUCAUUAUACAUCAUGUGGUAUCUUAUUGAAUGGUUGUUCAUAGUUAGACAGAUGCUGUAUUUAACCAGGGACGAAUAUAGAUAACUUCUUAACAAUCCUUGUCCCGAUAAAAAAUAUGUAGAGAAUCAUUGGAGAAACCACACUGUACACCUUAAAACUUUAAAAGUUGUUGAUGGAUUUUAAUGAAAUAAAGAUUUUCUUAAACUUAAAUGAUUCUUCAUUGAUAGAGUUAAUUUGGUUAAUAAUGUUCAUGUCUUUCAUGUAAUUUGAAUUAUUUAAGAAAGGAGGGUAAUUAUUUUUUGGGCAUUAUUCUACAUUUUGGGAAAAAAACCACAAUAAAACGUAUAGUUCAACUUUUCAGCUAAAAACUUAAAAAGUUCUUGAUUGAUUUUGAUGAAAAUUAUUUUGUCUGAAGUCUUAAUGUUUUUUACAUGUACAGAAGAAUUUUCAUGGUUAUCAAUAAGGUAUAAGAUUAAAUAUAAGUAAUUU